CCUACGGGAGGCAGCAGUGAGGAAUAUUGGUCAAUGGGAGAGAGCCUGAACCAGCCAAGCCGCGUGAGGGAAGACGGCCCUAUGGGUUGUAAACGUCUUUUGUCGGAGAACAAAACCAGGGUCGUGUCCCGGACUGCGUGUACUUGCAGAAAAAGCAUCGGCUAACUCCGUGCCAGCAGCCGCGGUAAUACGGAGGAUGCGAGCUUUAUCCGGAUUGAUUGGGUUAAAAGGAUGCGUAGGCGGUCUGUUAAGUCAGCGGUAAAAUUGCGGGGCUCAACCCUGGCGAGUCGUUGAAACUGGCAGACGUGAGUUGUCGAGAGGUACGCGGAAUGCGCAGUGUAGCGGUGAAAUGCGUAGAUAUCGCGCAGAACUCCGAUUGCGAAGGCAGCGUACCGGCGCCGAACUGACGCUGAGGCACGAAAGCGUGGGGAUCGAACAGGAUUAGAUACCCGUGUAGUC
rnacentral:rRNA from 1 species